ACGCGAAGGAGGCUGCAAAGCGGCGAAAUCUUCGCGGGUUCGCUAGUUUUUUCCUGGCGUCUUUGUUUGGACGAGGAUCCGUUCAUUCCGAGGAACCCACGGGGGCUGCCAUCUCAUUCGCCCGAGGUAUCCGCUAAAAACAGAUGGAGCUUUCAUCGCUUAUUGCCAGCUGGCUGCCAAGCCUCCCAUCAGAAGAUGUGGAAACUGUUGUUUCCAAGCUAGAAGAGUGCGGUGUAACAACCAUGGAGCAUCUAAAGUACAUUGAGGAGAGCGACCUGGACCUCCUAAACCCAGUGAAUAG